rnacentral:tRNA from 1 species
UAAAUAUCUAAAUUUAAGUAUUUCAUUUACAAUGAUAAGAUGUUGAUUAAUUAACUUUAUUUAAUUAAUAUUAUUAAUAUAGUUUUUUUUAUUUAG